GUCCCUGUAGCGCAAUGGAUAGCGCGUUGGUUGAUUGAUCCAAAGGUCGUGGGUUCGAAUCCUACCUGAGAUG